rnacentral:rRNA from 1 species
GACGAACGCUGGCGGCGUGCUUAACACAUGCAAGUCGAACAGUAAGGCCCUUCGGGGUACACGAGUGGCGAACGGGUGAGUAACACGUGGGUGAUCUGCCCUGCACUUCGGGAUAAGCCUGGGAAACUGGGUCUAAUACCGGAUAGGACCACUGCCUGCAUGGGUGGUGGUGGAAAGCUUUUGCGGUGUGGGAUGGGCCCGCGGCCUAUCAGCUUGUUGGUGGGGUGAUGGCCUACCAAGGCGACGACGGGUAGCCGGCCUGAGAGGGUGACCGGCCACACGGGGACUGAGAUACGGCCCAGACUCCUAGGGGAGGCAGCAGUGGGGAAUAUUGCACAAUGGGCGCAAGCCUGAUGCAGCGACGCCGCGUGAGGGAUGACGGCCUUCGGGUUGUAAACCUCUUUCAGCACCGACGAAGCGCAAGUGACGGUAGGUGCAGAAGAAGGACCGGCCAACUACGUGCCAGCAGCCGCCGUAA